rnacentral:RNase_P_RNA from 1 species
GAGGAAAGUCCGGGCUCCACAGGACAGGGUGCCAGAUAACGUCUGGGAGGCGCAAGCCUACGGCCAGUGCAACAGAAAGUAUACCGCCAGCUUCGGCUGGUAAGGGUGAAAUGGUGCGGUAAGAGCGCACCGCGCACGUGGUAACACGGGCGGCGAGGGUAAACCCCACCCGGAGCAAGACCAAAUAGGAAAACCAUGACGUUGUCCGCGUCGUUUUCGGGUUGGUCGCUUGAGGCUGGAGGGUGACCUUCAGUCCAGAUGAAUGAUUAUCCUAGACAGAACCCGGCUUAC